rnacentral:rRNA from 1 species
GACGAACGCUGGCGGCGUGCUUAACACAUGCAAGUCGAACGGAGCGGCGAACGGGGGAGUAACGCGUGAGUAACUGCCCCCCUCCCUGGGAUAACAGUUGGAAACGGCUGCUAAUACCGGAUAGUGGGGGAUGACUCGCGGCCUAUCAGCUUGUUGGGUGGGUAGUGGACUACCAAGGCGACGCCGGGUAGCCGGCCUGAGAGGGCGACCGGCCACAUUGGGCUGGGAUACGGUCCUAACGCCUACGGGGGGCAGCAGUGGAGGAUAUUGCACAAGGGAGGGAGCUCUGAUGCAGCGACGCCGCGUGCGGGAUGACGGCCUUCUGGUUGUAAACCGCUUUCAGCCAUGACGCGGUAGUGGCAGAAGAAGCACCGGCUAACUACGUGCCAGCAGCCGCGGUAAUAC